GGAAAAGAAACCAACAGGGAUUGCCCCAGUAACGGCGAGUGAAGCGGCAACAGCUCAAAUUUGAAAUCUGGCCCCCAGGGCCCGAGUUGUAAUUUGCAGAGGAUGCUUUUGGCGCGGUGCCUUCCGAGUUCCCUGGAACGGGACGCCAUAGAGGGUGAGAGCCCCGUCUGGUCGGACGCCUAGCCUGUGUAAAGCUCCUUCGACGAGUCGAGUAGUUUGGGAAUGCUGCUCUAAAUGGGAGGUAUAUGUCUUCUAAAGCUAAAUACCGGCCAGAGACCGAUAGCGCACAAGUAGAGUGAUCGAAAGAUGAAAAGCACUUUGAAAAGAGGGUUAAAUAGUACGUGAAAUUGUUGAAAGGGAAGCGCUUGUGACCAGACUUGGGCCCGGUGGAUCAUCCAGCGUUCUCGCUGGUGCACUCCGCCGGGUUCAGGCCAGCAUCAGUUCGCCGCGGGGGAAAAAGGCUUCGGGAACGUGGCUCCUACGGGAGUGUUAUAGCCCGUUGCAUAAUACCCUGGGGCGGACUGAGGUUCGCGCUCCGCAAGGAUGCUGGCGUAAUGGUCAUCAG
rnacentral:rRNA from 1 species